UUAUCAAAAACAUUACGUUUCGAGUUUAUACAAAGUCUGGCCUAUCCAAUGAUAUAAACUUAAUGGCCGUGGUGUAUAUAAUUUAAGGGGACCAUAAGACCUGAUAAAUCUUUAUAUUUAAAAUUUAUUAAACUAAAAAAUAGGUAACAAUUUUGGGUUUAAUAAAUCUAAAUAUUUUGUUGGCAUAACAAAAGUAUAAAUAAUUAACUACUUUAUAGCAAAAGUGAAUUAUAUUUAAUUAAGAGAUCCUUUAAUAAGAAUUUUAGAAUAAGUUACUUUAGGGAUAACAAUGUAAUCUUUUUGAGAGUUCAUACAGAAAAAUAAGGUUGCGACCUCGAUGUUGAAUUAAAGGUUCUUUAGUGAUGCAGAAGUUAUAAAAGGAGGUCUGUUCAACCUUUAAAUCUUUACAUGAUUUGAGUUCAGACCAACGUAAACCAGGUUGGUUUCUAUCUAAGCGACCUCGAUGUUGAAUUAAAGAUCCUAUAAUAGCGCAGAASUAAUAAAAGGAGGUCUGUUCGACCUUUAAAUCAUUACAUGAUUUGAGUUCAGACCGGCGUAGCAGUGGUUUCU
rnacentral:rRNA from 1 species